CCGCGUGAGUGAAGAAGGCCUUCGGGUUGUAAAGCUCUUUUGUCAGGGAAGAAACGGCGGAGGCUAAUAUCCUUUGCUAAUGACGGUACCUGAAGAAUAAGCACCGGCUAACUACGUGCCAGCAGCCGCGGUAAUACGUAGGGUGCAAGCGUUAAUCGGAAUUACUGGGCGUAAAGCGUGCGCAGGCGGUUUUGUAAGUCUGAGUGAAUCCCGGGUCACCUGGAAUUGCGUUGUAACUGCAGGCUAGAACU
rnacentral:rRNA from 1 species